rnacentral:rRNA from 1 species
CAGUCGCCACGGUAAUACGAAGGGGGCUAGCGUUGCUCGGAAUGACUGGGCGUAAAGGGCGCGUAGGCGGAUUGCGCAGUCAGAUGUGAAAUUCCUGGGCUUAACCUGGGGGCUGCAUUUGAGACGCGUAGUCUAGAGUGUGAAAGAGGGUCGUGGAAUUCCCAGUGUAGAGGUGAAAUUCGUAGAUAUUGGGAAGAACACCGGUGGCGAAUGCGGCGACCUGGUUCAUAACUGACGCUGAGGCGCGAAAGCGUGGGGAGCAAACAGGAUUAGAUACCCCCGUAGUCCCUGUCUCUUAUAA